CGCACGGGUGAGUAACACGUAUCCAACCUGCCGAUAACUCGGGGAUAGCCUUUCGAAAGAAAGAUUAAUACCCGAUGGCAUAAUAGAACCGCAUGGUUUGAUUAUUAAAGAAUUUCGGUUAUCGAUGGGGAUGCGUUCCAUUAGGCAGUUGGUGGGGUAACGGCCCACCAAACCUUCGAUGGAUAGGGGUUCUGAGAGGAAGGUCCCCCACAUUGGAACUGAGACACGGUCCAAACUCCUACGGGAGGCAGCAUG
rnacentral:rRNA from 1 species